UGGCCAGACUCCUACGGGAGGCAGCAGUGAGGAAUAUUGGUCAAUGGCCGGAAGGCUGAACCAGCCAAGCCGCGUGAGGGAGGAAGGCGCAGAGCGUCGCAGACCUCUUUUGCCGGGGGACAAAAGGCCGGACUCGUCCGGUCCUGAGGGUACCCGGAGAAAAAGCAUCGGCUAACUCCGUGCCAGCAGCCGCGGUAAUACGGAGGAUGCGAGCGUUAUCCGGAUUUAUUGGGUUUAAAGGGUGCGCAGGCGGAGGUGCAAGUCAGCGGUCAAAUUGCGGGGCUCAACCCCGUACUGCCGUUGAAACUGCAUCCCUUGAGUGCGCGAGAAGUAUGCGGAAUGCGUGGUGUAGCGGUGAAAUGCAUAGAUAUCACGCAGAACUCCGAUUGCGAAGGCAGCAUACCGGCGCGCAACUGACGCUCAUGCACGAAAGCGUGGGUAUCGAACAGGAUUAGAUACCCCAGUAAC
rnacentral:rRNA from 1 species